GACGAACCGUGCGAACGUUGUUCGGAAUCACUGGGCUUAAAGGGCUCGUAGGCGGCCAACUAAGUCAGACGUGAAAUCCCCAGGCUCAACCUGGGAACUGCGUCUGAUACUGGAUGGCUUGAAUCCGGGAGAGGGAUGCAGAAUUCCAGGUGUAGCGGUGAAAUGCGUAGAUAUCUGGAGGAAUACCGGUGGCGAAGGCGGCAUCCUGGACCGGCAUUGACGCUGAGGAGCGAAAGCCAGGGGAGCAAACGGG
rnacentral:rRNA from 1 species